ensembl:processed_transcript Eldr Egfr long non-coding downstream RNA
UGAGCGCCAAGGCUCUCUCUCCCCAGGGGACUCUGCAACCUGACUAGGUGCUCCUUCCCUGAGCAUAGUAACAUUCCAGGGAGCUGCCCGGGGAAGCUUAACGCUCGAUGCGUUCACAAUCUUCUACCUAGGGAAUGGUGCCACCCAUAGUGGGCCAAAGAGAUGUCAUGAUUUUGAGGGGAGCUUUUUCUGCUAUGGAUAUGAGACCGUGCUUGGAAGAAAUGAUUUAUUGCAAAUUUACUAUGAUGGACAAUCUGUCUUUCAGGGUGGUAGGAAUGUAUCAUGGUGGGAGAGUCAUGGCAGCAGGCAGCUGGAACAGGACACCAAGUAAGAACACCUUCAACUACAAGCAGAAGUCAAGGAGAACUGAAAGUGGGUCCCUGAAGUCAGCUCUGGAAAACUGAGAAGAGUGCUGCGUGCAGAAUGCUUCGCUGGAUGUUUUUUUCCUCUAUUCUCACAGACAACUGGAACCUUGAGAGCCAAGGGAGAUUGUGGAGAGGAUGUGAGCAGAUGGCCGCUGAGGAUAGCUGACCGGGUGGGUGGGCUGGAACCUAGGCCAGGACCUGCCACCUGAGGAUUGUGCCUGCGAUGUCCAUAUGA